rnacentral:misc_RNA from 1 species
UCUCCGUAGGUGAACCUGCGGAGGGAUCAUUACAGAGUUCAUGCCCUACCGGGUAGAUCUCCCACCCUAUGUUAUUAUUACUUUGUUGCUUUGGCGGGCCGUUAGGCUCCGGCCCGACUACCGGCCCCGGCUGGUAAGCGCCCGCCAGAGGACCCAAAACCCUGAAUAUUAGUGUCGUCUGAGUACUAUAUAAUAGUUAAAACUUUCAACAACGGAUCUCUUGGUUCUGGCAUCGAUGAAGAACCAGC